UACGUAUGGUGCGAACGUUGUUCGGAAUCACUGGGCAUAAAGAGCACGUAGGCGGUUAAGCAAGUCCAUUGUGAAAUCCCCCGGCCUAACCGGGGAACUGCAUUGGAUACUACUUGACUUGAGUGCAGGAGGGGAGAGCGGAAUUCCAGGUGGAGCGGUGAAAUGCGUAGAUAUCUGGAGGAACACCGGUGGCGAAGGCGGCGACCUGGUCCGUGACUGACGCUGAGGCGCGAAAGCGUGGGGAGCAAACAGG
rnacentral:rRNA from 1 species